UAGGGAAUCUUCGGCAAUGGACGAAAGUCUGACCGAGCAACGCCGCGUGAGUGAAGAUGGUUUUCGGAUCGUAAAACUCUGUUGUUAGAGAAGAACAAGGACGUUAGUAACUGAACGUCCCCUGACGGUAUCUAACCAGAAAGCCACGGCUAACUACGUGCCAGCAGCCGCGGUAAUACGUAGGUGGCAAGCGUUGUCCGGAUUUAUUGGGCGUAAAGCGAGCGCAGGCGGUUUCUUAAGUCUGAUGUGAAAGCCCCCGGCUCAACCGGGGAGGGUCAUUGGAAACUGGGAGACUGGAGUGCAGAAGAGGAGAGUGGAAUUCCAUGUGUAGCGGUGAAAUGCGUAGAUAUAUGGAGGAACACCAGUGGCGAAGGCGGCUCUCUGGUCUGUAACUGACGCUGAGGCUCGAAAGCGUGGGGAGCAAACAGG
rnacentral:rRNA from 1 species